UUUGAACUGAACAGAGCAGGAGGAGGAAAACUGAAGGCUGAGUCAGGUCACUAUUCUGUCUCCAGCAUUGUUCCACCCACAGCACCAUCUGAUUGGUUACAAGCAGAGCUGAUUGGCACGGGUAACAGCCAAUCAGCAGUGAAAGCUAUGCAUGCACGGCGCUCACACACGGCAGAGAGGAGAAAAACGUUUUGCCGAGUGGAGAAGCUCCGGAGCCAGACACGUUUCGAAGACUGACUGAAGUGCAGAAGAUGAUUGUUUGUGUGGAGGAAGAAGAGGACAGAGCAGAGUGUCCAGGAUCCAGCUGUCUGUCUACGAAGAGUGACAGGUCCAAAGAGAAAGAUCCUCCAAAGUUCAGUAAUGAACCUGGACCCUCAGACACAAAAGGUCAGGACCACAGACUGAGAGCAGAGUCUCCAGGAUCCAGCUGUCUGUCUAUGA